rnacentral:tRNA from 1 species
GCUGGGCCUGGCUGGACUCGGUGUACAUCUCGGCGCUGAUGCCGCCGAAGACGUCCUCGUGCGGGUGUUCCGGCAGUGCCUGCUCGGUC